ACGCUAGCGGGAGGCCUAACACAUGCAAGCCGAGCGGUAUUUGUUCUUCGGAACAGAGAGAGCGGCGUACGGGUGCGGAACACGUGUGCAACCUGCCUUUAUCUGGGGGAUAGCCUUUCGAAAGGAAGAUUAAUACCCCAUAAUAUAUUUUACGGCAUCGUGGAAUAUUGAAAACUCCGGUGGAUAGAGAUGGGCACGCGCAAGAUUAGAUAGUUGGUGAGGUAACGGCUCACCAAGUCAGUGAUCUUUAGGGGGCCUGAGAGGGUGAUCCCCCACACUGGUACUGAGACACGGACCAGACUCCUACGGGAGGCAGCAGUGAGGAAUAUUGGACAAUGGGUGCAAGCCUGAUCCAGCCAUCCCGCGUGAAGGACUAAGGCCCUAUGGGUUGUAAACUUCUUUUAUACUGGGAUAAACCUACUUACGUGUAAGUAGCUGAAGGUACAGUAUGAAUAAGCACCGGCUAACUCCGUGCCAGCAGCCGCGGUAAUACGGAGGGUGCAAGCGUUAUCCGGAUUUAUUGGGUUUAAAGGGUCCGUAGGCGGAUUCGUAAGUCAGUGGUGAAAUCUCAUAGCUUAACUAUGAAACUGCCAUUGAUACUGCGAGUCUUGAGUGAGAUUGAGGUAGCUGGAAUAAGUAGUGUAGCGGUGAAAUGCAUAGAUAUUACUUAGAACACCAAUUGCGAAGGCAGGUUACCAAGUCUUAACUGACGCUGAGGGACGAAAGCGUGGGGAGCGAAAC
rnacentral:rRNA from 1 species